rnacentral:rRNA from 1 species
AACGAACGCUGGCGGCGUGGCUAAAACAUGCAAGUCGCACGAGAAAGGCGGGGCAACUCGCCGAGUAAAGUGGCGGAAGGGUGAGGAAUAUAUGGGUAACGUACCCUUGGCACCGGGAUAGCCGCGGGAAACUGCGGGUAAUACCGGAUGAGACCACGAUGUCACAUGGCAUUGCGGUCAAUGGGCGGGGAUCCGCAAGGACCUGUCGGCCUUGGAGUGGCCCAUAUCCUAUCAGCUAGUUGGUGAGGUAACGGCCCACCAAGGCUUUGACGGGUACCGGGACUGAGAGGUUGGCCCGGCACAUUGGCAAUGAGACACUGGCCAGACUCCUACGGGAGGCAG